rnacentral:rRNA from 1 species
UGAGUAACGCGUGAAUAAUCUGCCCUUGAAAUCGGGAUACCAUUUCGAAAGGAAUGCUAAUACCGAAUAACGUUAUGAAACACAGGUUUCAUAACCGAAGUUGAGUCUUCGGAUUCUUCGUUCAAGGAUGAGUUCGCGUCCUAUUAGCUAGUUGGUGAGGUAAAGGCUUACCAAGGCUAUGAUGGGUAGCCGGCCUGAGAGGGCGUACGGCCACAUUGGGACUGAGACACGGCCCAGACUCCUACGGGAGGCAGCAGUAGGGAAUCUUCCGCAAUGGGCGAAAGCCUGACGGAGCGAUGCCNCGUGGAUGAUGGAGGCCUUCGGGUCGUAAAAUCCUGUCAGUGGGGACGAUGGUUGAUCUUCGGAUUGAUUGACGGUACCCGCAGAGGAAGCUCCGGCCAACUACGUGCCAGCAGCCGCGGUAAUACGUAGGGAGCAAGCGUUGUUCGGAUUUACUGGGCGUAAAGAGUGCGUAGGUGGCUAUAUAAGUCAAGGGUGAAAUCUCUACUUUCAAGGUAGAAACUGCCUUUGAUACUGUAUAGCUAGAGGACAAGAGGGGGAAAUGGAAUUCUGGGAGUAGCGGUGAAAUGCGUAGAUAUCCAGAGGAACGCCAGUAGCGAAGGCGGUUUCCUGGCUUGUUUCUGACACUGAGGCACUAAAGCUAGGGGAGCGAUCGGGAUUAGAGACCCCGGUAGUCCUAGCCCUAAACGAUGGGUACUAAGUGUGGGGGGAGCAUUACCCUCUGUGCUGAAGCUAACGCGUUAAGUACCCCGCCUGGGGAGUACGGUCGCAAGGCUGAAACUCAAAAGAAUUGACGGGGGGCUGAACAAGCAGUGGAGCACGUGGUUUA